GAGUCUCUGGAGGGCGCGAAACGAAGCCAAUUUUUCAAACAAAGAUGUCAGAAUUGAAAAAGUUAUUAGCAAGGUGAAGUCGGUUGGGUUUCUUUGGACUAGAAAUAGAUCUAAGUUCAAGAACUUAACUUGGGAGAAUUAGUGUAAAUUCGUAAUUAUGUAGCGUGUUAGUUUGUGUUUUGCCGCGCGGUUUUCGGGUUGGUGUUUUCUUAAUGAAGUUCACGUUUAAAAAAAAAACGUCAAAGCACAUCAUGAACAUAUUACUCUCAUAUUAAAACGUACCUCAAAAUCUUAACAACAUCGAAAAGCUCCAAAAUUGACUAUUCAAUUAACAAGAAACUCACACGUAUGCACAACUAAAUAUAUAAUUUAGUCAACAUACAAAAUGAAAGGGCCAAAGAGGUAAUUAAUAGAUAGAAAAGAGUGUUAAAACAAGGGGUUGAAGUGGAAAAUCUCACAACGCAGCAUUAUAAAUCGAAACCCUGAUUCUCCAUUUUAUUCUUAUUCUAAGCCACAUCUAGAGAGCCGCAUCAGCCGCUGUCGGUAAACCCUAAUUCUCCACUGGGCAUCGAUGUUAGACGGAAGUAGCCGUCUGGAUUCAAUGGGAAGUGAAGAAUGUGUAGUAAAGGUUGAUAACAUGUUGGUUGUUCAUAGGGUGGUGAUGCAGGUAACUAACUUUUUAUUUAGAGAUAUUUAUACCUGCUUCUUAACGAACAUUGAAACGUUCUUGUUCUUUCUUGUCUGAUAGCUGUUGGUUCAGGUCCUUCACUCAACACCCAACUCACACUUAUAUAUGUGUACAAUAUGCUGAGAUGAAAAGAGAAUAAGCUUCUGUUGUAUUCGAUAAUCAAAGAAGGUUGAGUUAUAGUGCUUUGGAACAAUACCUGGGAUUGGAGCAUCCUGAUAACCCCUAGGUUCGUUGAAUGCUGCAAAUCAGGUACACGAGUCUGAUGAUUCUAUAACAACCACAUCUUGAUGUUCGUUGAAGGCUGCCAAUCAGCACUGGAACACCGAAAAAUGGCAAAAAAAAGUCAGAAGCCGGGAGAGCAAACCGCAAAAAUGAAAAUAAUGGCAAUUCAGAGAGUUAGUUGUGAUGAUUCAUUCAAGAUUAGAA